CGUUAAUUGAUUCGUUUAAAAAAUGAAAUUUGCUGAGCACUUGUGUGCACAUAUCACACCAGAAUGGAGAAAACAAUACAUAAAUUACGAGGAAAUGAAGGCUUUGCUGUAUGCAGCAGUAGAGCAAGCACCAGCAGCAGAUGUAACCGAAUCCCAUGUGUUGGAACGUUAUUUUAAUAAAUUUGAUGAGAAAUUCUUUCAUUAUUGUGACAAGGAAUUGGCAAAGAUAAACACAUUCUAUUCUGAAAAGUUAGCAGAAGCAACGCGCAGAUUCGCGAGCCUCAAUAACGAAUUGAGCGAAGUUUUAACAGCCUCAGAAGAAAAACGAGGGAGUCAUAAAAUUAGAUACCGUAAUAACAUCUUGCACAAGAAGCCAGUCUCAGCACGCAAACUGCAAGAAUUAAAAUUAGCUUUUUCCGAAUUCUAUCUCUUUUUGAUUUUACUUCAAAACUAUCAAAAUCUGAAUUUUACGGGCUUUAGAAAAAUACUGAAAAAGCACGACAAAUUAUUGAACGUCGACGUCGGAGCGAAAUGGAGAGCGGAACACGUAGAUACUGCGAUGUUUCAUACGCACAAGGACAUAGACAGACUUAUCGCAGAAACAGAGGCAUUGGUCACCAGAGAUUUGGAACAGGGGGACAGGCAACGUGCAAUGAAACGUUUAAGAGUUCCUCCACUUGGAGAACAACUGUCUCCAUGGAUUACAUUUAAAGUUGGGUUGUUUUCAGGAGCCUUUAUCAUUCUUCUUAUAGCUGUAAUACUUUCAGGUACGCGUUUUAAGGACAACAACAAUUGGCGAGUUUUAUGCAGAUUGUACCGCGGACCGCUUCUUAUGAUUCAAUUUCUUUUCCUUAUGGGAGUCAAUGUUUAUGGGUGGAGAUCUUCUGGCGUGAAUCACGUUUUAAUAUUUGAACUUGACCCUCGAAAUCACUUGUCAGAACAGCAUAUCAUUGAAUUGGCUAGCGUGUUUGGAUUAGUUUGGUCUCUAUCAGUUUUGGGUUUCCUUUACAGUGAAACAUUAGGGAUACCUCCGUUCGUUCAUCCCAUGUUGUUAUACACAUUAUUGGCCUUGUUUUUGUUCAAUCCGACGAAAACUUUACGUUACGAGGCUAGAUUUUGGGCGCUUCGUGUGUUGGCUAGAAUAUUUUGCGCACCGUUUUUCUACGUCGGGUUUGCUGAUUUUUGGCUCGCCGAUCAACUCAAUUCCCUACACACUGUGUUUUUAGACUUUCAGUAUUUCGUUUGCUUUUAUGUCCAAAAUUCCUCGUGGACUGACGUUACUGAUGCGGAAACGUGUAUAAUACGCGAGCUAUCGAUGAGACCGUUUGUAGCUUGUUUGCCAGCAUGGUUUCGAUUCGCACAAUGCCUGCGGCGCUAUAGAGACACAAAAGAAGCCUUUCCACAUCUCGUAAACGCGGCUAAAUACGCUACCAGCUUCUUCGUUGUAGUUUUUUCAUAUUUACAUUUAACUAACGCUAAACACUAUGUGAUGUCUACCGAGAAUCCAUACUUCUAUUUAUGGAUAACAGCAAGUGUCAUGAGUUCUUGUUUCACGUAUACGUGGGACGUUAAAUUGGACUGGGGACUGUUCGAUAGCAACGCAGGAGAGAAUAAAUUUCUCAGGGAAGAAAUCGUUUAUUCUUCUCCUUACUAUUAUUAUUUUGCGAUAAUCGAGGAUUUCGUGCUUCGUUUCGGUUGGGCAUUUUCGUUGUCGCUUACCGAGAUGGGAUACGUACACGGAGAUCUGAUGGUUUCGAUAGUCGCGCCGUUAGAAGUGUUCAGGUAAGUUAGAAAGUAAGUUAAUAUCGCUAACGUAAUAAAUAUAGAAUUUUCGAAACCGCGGUUCUGUGUGCGAAGCAUAUUAGCACGCAUAGUGUAUCGUUUCUAGUGAUGCUUGAAGAUAUUUCUCAUUUGCAUGAUAUUUGAAGUUUUACAUUUCAGUCGCGCAAGAUUUACUGAAAAAAUAAUAUAUAUAUAUAUAUGUUUACUUAAUGAUUCUAAUAAAUAUCGUAAUAAAGAGAAUAUUUUAUUUGUUUUCGACCUUUGUCCUUGUUUUAUUUGUCCCUUCAUACCUAUCAUAGUGUACCAUUCUUUAAUUUUGUUUAUCGUGAGGAACUUUAAUUUAUCAGAAAAAAAGUAUCAUUUUGCAUAUCAAUUUGCCUUACUAAUCAGUUGAUAGAAGGUACAUGUGGAAUUACUUUCGCCUGGAAAACGAACACCUGUACAACGUAGGCAAAUUUCGAGCAGUACGAGACAUAUCCAUAGGGCCUUACAGACGCAAUGAACCCGACGAAUCGAAGGCGGUCAUACAUCUUAUGGAUCGCAAGGACGAGGACAUUGACGAUGAGCGAACAGCGUUUCGUGAUUGUUGAAAUAAUCAUCUUGAGAUUCAUUUGGAACUUUUUCCGUUUGGAAAACGAACAUCUGAACAACUGCGGCAAAUUUAGAGCCGUCAG